rnacentral:misc_RNA from 1 species
GUCCAAUUACAAAUGUCCAAAGAUAAUUAUCUAUAUAUUUUAUAUAUAGUACUAAAUACUAACUAUCAAAAUAAUUUAAAAUACAGACAGCAUGGAAAUAAUUGAUUGCUUCAUUCUUCAUCUACAUUUUUGAAUCUCCAUGAACAAAUUAAUUGCUCAGCUCCUGUUCUUGCAUUUCUCCAUGGCUCUUGGUGCUAGUCCAAUAGCUUCUGAUCCUUUCAUUAUGCGUAAACGCUUGCAUGAAUCAACAAACAUUUGCCAAGGUACAUCUCCAACAAG